UUUGUUCUCCUCCCUCUCACUACCUCUCUGUACUUUAUUUCCAAAGGUUAGAUCUCUUCUCUCAUUUUAUAAUUUAUUAAUCAAAUUAUACCCAUCUUUGACACAAUCCAAAAGGUACAAUGAACGGCCAAAAUUGAUUUAAACUUCUUAACCUCUUGCGAUUGCCGCAACAGUUGUUUUUAUUCUUCUUACACACGUAUAAGGAUAUUGGAGAGUAAGCGGUGGACAAACAAGAGUCAGAGUUGUUGUUCUUUCCAUCUCCUCAAUACUCAGUCUCCACUCCCAUUUGAGCCAACUCCUCCAAGAGGCCGAUAAAGGUAAUCGUAAAUGUGCACACAGAGAUGGAUGGAGAGAGAUUAAGAGAGGAAUUCUAGGACUGUCAAACUACUACCAUGUCAAAUCAUCACCCACCUUCAACCCUACCUCUUGACACCUUCAUAUACUGCAAGAACCACUACCAGUACAGGGCUAUGGCUGCUACCGUGAUUUCAAAUAUCUCUAAUAGCAACCUCUGAGGACAACCAUCCAAAGGCAAGAUGGAAUGUGGGGUACCGCUGCAAGUGUUGCCUUGAAAAGAAAAGACUGCAGUUGAUUCAAAUGCUCCAACUACUGCUUGCAGUGCACACAAGACUGAGACCGCUGCAAGUGUUGCCUUGAAAAGAAAAGACUGCAAUUGAUUCAAAUGCUCCAGCUACUGCUUGCAGUGCACACAAGACUGAGACAGGGCUGAUGAAUAACUUUAUAUGUAAUAACAUUAUAACCUUAUCUCACAAAGAUCAAGG